AUUGAACGCUGGCGGCAUGCCUAACACAUGCAAGUCGAACGGAAACGACGAAAACAAUCCCUUCGGGGUGCGUCUUCGGGCGUCGAGUGGCGGACGGGUGCGUAACGCGUAGGAAUCUACCUUAUAGUGGGGGACAACUCGAGGAAACUCGAGCUAAUACCGCAUAAUCCUUACGAGGGAAAGCAGGGGAUCUUCGGACCUUGUGCUAUUAGAUGAGCCUGCGUCGGAUUAGCUUGUUGGUAGGGUAAUGGCCUACCAAGGCAACGAUCCGUAGCUGGUCUGAGAGGACGACCAGCCACACUGGGACUGAGACACGGCCCAGACUCCUACGGGAGGCAGCAGUGGGGAAUAUUGGACAAUGGGCGCAAGCCUGAUCCAGCAAUGCCGCGUGUGUGAAGAAGGCCUUAGGGUUGUAAAGCACUUUCAGUAGGGAAGAAAUGCGUGUAGCUAAUAACUGCGCGUCUUGACGGUACCUACAGAAGAAGCACCGGCUAACUCCGUG
rnacentral:rRNA from 1 species